rnacentral:rRNA from 1 species
GGGCUAGCGUUGUUCGGAAUUACUGGGCGUAAAGCGUGUGUAGGUGGUUGUCCAAGUUGGAUGUGAAAGCCUUGAGCUCAACUCAAGAAAUGCAUUCAGGACUGGGCGACUAGAGGACCGGAGAGGAUAGUGGAAUUCCCAGUGUAGUGGUGAAAUGCGUAGAUAUUGGGAGGAACACCAGUGGCGAAGGCGGCUCACUGGACCGGUACUGACGCUGAUGCGCGUAAGCGUGGGGAGCAAACAGG